AGUGAACGCUGGCGGUAGGCCUAAUACAUGCAAGUCGAACGGCAGCACAGUAAGAGCUUGCUCUUACUGGUGGCGAGUGGCGGACGGGUGAGGAAUACAUCGGAAUCUACUUUUUCGUGGGGGAUAACGUAGGGAAACUUACGCUAAUACCUCAUACGACCUACGGGUGAAAGCAGGGGAUCUUCGGACUUUUCGCGAUUGAUUGAGCCGAUGUCGGAUUAGCUAGUUGGCGGGGUAAAGGCCCACCAAGGCGACGAUCCGUAGCUGGUCUGAGAGGAUGAUCAGCCACACUGGAACUGAGACACGGUCCAGACUCCUACGGGAGGCAGCAGUGGGGAAUAUUGGACAAUGGGCGCAAGCCUGAUCCAGCCAUACCGCGUGGGUGAAGAAGGCCUUCGGGUUGUAAAGCCCUUUUGUUGGGAAAGAAAAGCAGCAGGUUAAUACCCCGCUGUUCUGACGGUACCCAAAGAAUAAGCACCGGCUAACUUCGUG
rnacentral:rRNA from 1 species